rnacentral:rRNA from 1 species
GUAUCAUGGCUCAGGAUGAACGCUAGCUACAGGCUUAACACAUGCAAGUCGAGGGGCAGCAUGUAUCUGGCUUGCCAGAUACGAUGGCGACCGGCGCACGGGUGAGUAACGCGUAUCCGACCUGCCGCACACUCCGGGAUAGCCUUAGCGAAAGCAAGUUUAAUACCGGAUGCCGUAAGGACGCCGCAUGGUGUUUUUACGAAAGGGGUUUACCGGUGUGCGAUGGGGAUGCGUCCCAUUAG